CACAACUUCUUGUAGUUACAUGGU
rnacentral:siRNA from 1 species